UGGGUCACUGCCUCAGAAGGUGCAAGC
rnacentral:piRNA from 1 species